rnacentral:rRNA from 1 species
AACGAACGCUGGCGGCAGGCUUAACACAUGCAAGUCGAGCGCGUAGCAAUACGAGCGGCAGACGGGUGAGUAACGCGUGGGAAUCUACCCAACCCUACGGAAUAACGCAUGGAAACGUGUGCUAAUACCGUAUACGCCCUUAGGGGGAAGAUUUAUCGGGGAUGGAUGAGCCCGCGUUGGAUUAGCUAGUUGGUGGGGUAAAGGCCUACCAAGGCGACGAUCCAUAGCUGGUCUGAGAGGAUGAUCAGCCACAUUGGGACUGAGACACGGCCCAAACUCCUACGGGAGGCAGCAGUGGGGAAUAUUGGACAAUGGGCGCAAGCCUGAUCCAGCCAUGCCGCGUGAGUGAUGAAGGCCCUAGGGUUGUAAAGCUCUUUCACCGGUGAAGAUAAUAGACGGUAACCGGAGAAGAAGCCCGGCUAACCUUCGUGCCAGCAGCCGCGGUAAGUAGACGU